ACUCUUCGGACUCCCCAGUUCCCCACUAUGGGGCAACCUUUAUGUGCGAGAGCACCGAGAGUUGAGAAUGCCCAGCGCAGCGGAAUACAAAUUUCGGUCAGUUACGGUACACGUUUUAAGUGUUCUCGCGUUGCAUCGAGUUUAUCACGGUAUUACAAUAUAAUAGUAUGUUUUAUGGUGAUACUGUAUCAGCAUAAUAUAUCGGCAAUACGCGUUACGACGCAUUUCCCUCUCGCCGUACUGCCCGCGGCCUGCGUUCUGCGAACGUGGGGCAAAGGCGCCGUCGGGGCUAGCCUAUGUGGACGAAAUAUCUUCAAGUCCAACGAAUUCAAUAGAUCUAAAAUAUCGAGUUAUCGUUUUAACAAACAGUGAACGGCGUCUGUAGUAGCAGCGACGAAAUGAAGCGCCGACAGUGUCGCUUGAAAAGCCGUAAGGCUACAACUCGACUGAUUCCGAUCGAUAAUUCUUCCCGACGAGAUGGCGAAUCGCGUUAAUAUCCAAACAUUGACGACUUUACGGUUGUCCCGCGGUUGUAGUAGAACAAUUGCACAAAAGUGUAAACCAAAGAAUUCAUGGGAUUUUUGGUCUCUUUUCACAUUACUUUCAAAAGUUGGACACUAUGGAUUCGAAAACUUUAGAUAAACAGGAAAUUAUAUUUAAAUCUAAAGUUUGGAAACCAGAAAAUUUUUCAAAGCAGUGCAAAUUAAAAUAAGUAUUGAAUAUGGAUCAAUAUAUGAGGAAUUUUAAACAAAAUUUUGUACAUAUUGGCAGCGACUUAAAUGUUGAUAUAAACCCAUUAGUUCAAUUGAUUUUUACAUAAAAAAAUUGUAUCUGUAAUUGAUGGUCUUGAAAAAGCAACUAAUUUUUUUGAAUGACAG